rnacentral:rRNA from 1 species
AACGAACGCUGGCGGCAUGCCUAACACAUGCAAGUCGAACGAGACCUUCGGGUCUAGUGGCGCACGGGUGCGUAACGCGUGGGAACCUGCCCUUAGGUUCGGAAUACCUCCCCGAAAGGGGUGCUAAUACCGGUUAAUGUCUUCGGACCAAAGAUUUAUCGCCUUUGGAUGGGCCCGUGUUGGAUUAGCUAGUUGGUAGGGUAAAAGCCUACCAAGGCGACGAUCCAUAGCUGGUCGGAGAGGAUGAUCAGCCACACUGGGACUGAGACACGGCCCAGACUCCUACGGGAGGGAGCAGUGGGUAAUAUUGGACGAUGGGCGAAAGCCUGAUCCAGCAAUGCCGCGUGAGUGAUGAAGGCCUUAGGGUUGUAAAGCUCUUUUACCCGAGAUGAUAAUGACAGUACCGGGAGAAUAAGCUCCGGCUAACUCCGUG